rnacentral:rRNA from 1 species
GACGAACGCUGGCGGCGUGCUUAACACAUGCAAGUCGAACGGAAAGGCCCUGCUUGCAGGGUACUCGAGUGGCGAACGGGUGAGUAACACGUGGGUGAUCUGCCCUGCACUUCGGGAUAAGCCUGGGAAACUGGGUCUAAUACCGGACAGGAGCCAUUUUUAGUGUGAUGGUUGGAAAGUUUUUUCGGUGUUGGAUGAGCUUGCGGCCUAUCAGCUUGUUGGUGGGGUAAUGGCCUACCAAGGCGGCGGCGGGUAGCCGGCCUGAGAGGGUGGACGGCCACAUUGAGACUGAGAUACGGCCCAGACACGUACGGGAGGCAGCAGGGGGGAAGAUUGCACAAGGGGCGCAGGCCUGAUGCAGCGGCGCCGCGUGGGGGAUGACGGCCUUCGGGUUGUAGACUCCUUUCGCAAGGGACGAAGCUUUUUGUGACGGUACCUAGAUAAGAAGCACCGGCUAACUACGUG